GAUGAAGAACGCAGCGAAAUGCGAUAAGUAAUGUGAAUUGCAGAAUUCCGUGAAUCAUCGAAUCUUUGAACGCACAUUGCGCCCUCUGUUAUUCCGGGGGGCAUGCCUGUCCGAGCGUCAUUUCAACCCUCAAGCACUGCUUGGCGUUGGCGGAUUGCGUGCCCUCGCGGCGCUGCAACCGCCCAAAUACAGUGGCGGUCCCGCUGCGGCUCCCUUUGCGUAGUAACUCACCUCGCACUGGACCGGGCGGCGGCCUGCCGUAAAACCCCAACUCACGAAAUGUUGACCUCGGAUCAGGUAGGAAUACCCGCUGAACUUAAGCAUAUCAAUAAGCGGAGGA
rnacentral:misc_RNA from 1 species